CCUACGGGGGGCAGCAGUGAGGAAUAUUGGUCAAUGGGCGAGAGUCUGAACCAGCCAAGUAGCGUGAAGGAUGACUGCCCUGUGGGUUGUAAACUUCUUUUAUAUGGGAAUAAAACGUUCCACGUGUGGGAUUUUGUAUGUACCAUAUGAAUAAGGAUCGGCUAACUCCGUGCCAGCAGCCGCGGUAAUACGGAGGAUCCGAGCGUUAUCCGGAUUUAUUGGGUUUAAAGGGAGCGUAGGUGGAUUGUUAAGUCAGUUGUGAAAGUUUGCGGCUCAACCGUAAAAUUGCAGUUGAAACUGGCAGUCUUGAGUACAGUAGAGGUGGGCGGAAUGCGUGGUGUAGCGGUGAAAUGCUUAGAUAUCACGAAGAACUCCGAUUGCGAAGGCAGUUCACUGGACUGCAACUGACACUGAGGCUCGAAAGUGUGGGUAUCAAACAGGAUUAGAUACCCUUGUAGUC
rnacentral:rRNA from 1 species